CUUGUCUUUUCUCUGAGCUCGGCUUCCAGACAGGCGAUACUUUUCCUCAGCUUUGAGACGCUCCCUCUGUGCUAAAUUGCAUUGGAAGAUGGAUUUUUGGCAUCUGAGGCUGUCAGGUCUCAGCCAUGGAAGACUUUAUGCACUAGUACACCCGCUAUGAAAGUGAUUCUGGAGGGAUGGAAGGCUUUAAGAGUGGUGUCAUAAUGAUGAUAGGAUCUGGUCCAGCAGCAAUAUGAAGACCAUCUUCAUUCCAGACUGAACUAUUAUCUUCAUUUUCAUUACAGUUAUUGCAGUGUGCAUAUGCAUUGAUUGUAGAACAUAUUUUACAUUAUAACAUGACCUGGGUGAAUAUGCUAUUCUGAUUGGCUGAAGGGUGUUCAUGAAUUUUCAAAAAUGGGACCCCUAACAACAAAAGGGAUCACCAGGGAUAAAAAUUUGACUUGUGUGCUUGAAAGAAAAAUCCUGUCUGGCAAAUUUAAGAAUAACUGUGCUUAGAAGUAAAGAUUUUCAUUGUCUUCUCUGUGUCACAGUCACAGCACUGACACCACUGUGAUAACAAUGUGCAAAUCUUAAGACGUGCUUUUUUGUCUAAAGCCUCCUCCUUCCUCCUCCUUCCUCAUCCCCCUCCCUCCUCCUCCAUGUUAUUUGUGCAAACAAGACUCUUCCCUUCCCUGCAUGUUCAAAUCUUAAAUAUAUUUCUCCCCCUCUAUAUCAUCUGGUCAGCACACCUAUACACAUUUGAAAAGGGGUGAGCGAGUGCCACAGAAAGAACGAACAACCAAGAGGCGAUCAAAGCAAUCAAGCUGCCAAUAUUUGCUGACAGUUACUUGGCAAUAUUAGCCUACCACUGUUUGAGGGAAUCUGCCUGUUGUUCAUGCUAACGAAGCAGCGAGAGAACCAAGUGUUCUUUGAGAGGUCAGAGAGCUGUUACGCUUUAUUGCUUUAGAGGCACAUGCAAUUAGGGCUGCCACUAACGACUAUUUUUCUAAUUGAUAAAUCUAUCAACGAUUUUACUGAUUAGUCAAUUAAUCUAAACAAUUAAUUCCUCCAAAAGAAUUAAUUGACCAAUUAAUUUGAGUUCAUUUAAUUUUGACAAACUGUAUGUCAUUGUAUAAUGUAGCACAAAACAAAAUGUAAACAAAGGUUUGCGUAUUAAAGUGCAAAACUGUAGAUUUACAGUGAGUCCCUGGGACCCACAAGUGGUCAUUUGAGUGGGUGCAAGGGAAAUAUUGUGUUUUUUGACAAAUUGCAGAAGUCAACUUGUUUUUAGGGAUGGGUAUCAUUGGGAUUUUAUUGAUACUACUAUUCUUCUCGAAACUUGAUAUUGGUUCUUUUUCAUUACUAAAUAAUUGCUUUUUAAAAAUAUAUAUUAUUUUAAAAAAGAAUAGAUAAAACAGGAUUAGAAUUUAAUAUUUUAAAUAUAACUAACUAAAUGUUUCUAGAGCAGCAGCAGUAAUGUUUACAACUGAAAAGUCACUAUAAACUCAAUAAUAUCUCACUGGAAACAAAUCUAAAAUGUUAAUAAAAUAAAUCAUAUUCCUGACAUCAAAAUACAGAGCGAAAUUUAGAAACAAUGAAAAACUCAGACAUCAGUCAUUAUCAGUCCCUUCUGUCCUCCUCCCUCUGCUGCUGCUGUGAUUCACUGCAGGUAAGAGUCUGGCUGAACGCGCUACUGGUGGUAAAGGCAACUAUACUCCCCUACCUGCAGGACUUAUAUGAAGAGGUGCAGAACCAGAGCCUGUAGGAUCAUGAAAGAUCCUCACCACCCCAACAAUGGACUGUUCCAGCUGUUGCGGAUCACUGCUCACCUGCCUGCUCUCCGUUUGCUUCUGCCUGCUUACAAGCCACGCUUCCCUCAGCCAUGACAUCUCCACCGCCAGUCUGCCUGCUACGGAUCCCAAAUCCCAGUUAACUCCCUGACCCUGCUUCCCUUUAUUCAAUAAAUCCUUUUAUUACAUUCAA